UUCACGUUAAUUACCUGCAGGAAGAGCUUCUCCAGUUAAAGCAGAGCUAUGAAGAGGAGGUGAAUGUGCAGCGUGCUCAACUGGGAAAACGAGUCAAUGUGGAAAUGGAUUCUACACCAUCUGUAGAUCUGAACAAAGUGUUGUCUCAGAUCAGAGAAGAAUAUGAAAACUUGAUGGAGAGGAACCUUAAGGAGAUCGAAACCAUAUUCCAUCAGAGGACUUCAGAGCUGGAUCGUGAUGUGAAUUCCAGGGUGGAACAGAUGCAGUCAGUUAGUAACGAGUACAUUGAUCUGAAGCUUUUAGGAC